UACGUAGGGUCCGAGCGUUGUCCGGAAUUAUUGGGCGUAAAGGGCUCGUAGGCGGUUCGUCGCGUCGGCUGUGAAAACCCGGAGCUCAACUCCGGGCCUGCAGUCGAUACGGGCGGACUUGAGUGUUGCAGGGGAGACUGGAAUUCCUGGUGUAGCGGUGAAAUGCGCAGAUAUCAGGAGGAACACCGGUGGCGAAGGCGGGUCUCUGGGCAACUACUGACGCUGAGGAGCGAAAGCGUGGGGAGCGAACAGG
rnacentral:rRNA from 1 species